rnacentral:rRNA from 1 species
AAUGGGGGAAACCCUGAUGCAGCGACGCCGCGUGAGCGAUGAAGUCCUUCGGGAUGUAAAGCUCUUUCGACGGGAACGAUAAUGACGGUACCCGGAGAAGAAGCUGCGGCUAACUACGUGCCAGCAGCCGCGGUAAUACGUAGGCAGCAAACGUUGUUCGGAAUUACUGGGCGUAAAGAGUGUGUAGGCGGUUGGGCAAGUCUGGUGUGAAAUCUCCCGGCUUAACUGGGAGGGUGCGCUAGAAACUGCUUGACUUGAGUGUCGGAGAGGAAGGCGGAAUUCCUGGAGUAGCGGUGAAAUGCGUAGAUAUCAGGAGGAACACCAGCGGUGUAGACGGCCUUCUGGACGACAACUGACGCUGAGACACGAAAGCGUGGGGAGCAAA